AAUAGGGAAGAAGGGCUGACACAAGCUGAGAUGAGGAAAUAUGACCUCCUACACGUGUUUUCCAUGAGGAAUAUGUUUGCUGUGCAGUCACUGAGUUAAAAGCAAGCUUCAUUCCCUUGUGCACCAAGGUAGUGCCUCUCCAGAGCUGUAGAUGUCUUCCCAGGAUAUUCCAUCGUUCUACACAGCACUUAAUUCUUGGAACUCACAGUCCAAGACUGUUAUCAGUCCAUUUUCACACUGUUGAUCAAGACAUACCCAAGCCUGGGUAAUUUAUAAAGAAAAUGAAUGGACUCACAGUUUCACGUUGCUGGGGAGGCCUCACAGUCCAAGCAGUCACAGUCUUACAUGGCAGCAAGCAAGAGUGAAUGAGAACCAAGCAAAAGGGAAACUCAUUAUAAAACAUCAACUAUCAUGAGGCUUCUUCACUACCACAAGAACA
rnacentral:lncRNA from 1 species